rnacentral:rRNA from 1 species
CGUGCCCUAAAGCGGCGGACUGGUGAGUAACGCGUGGGUGACCUGCCUUGAGUGCCGGGGAUAGCUGUUAGAAAUAGCAGGUAAUACCGGAUAAUAACAUUAGGCUAUGGUUUCGAUGAGGAAAGGGGCUACGUGCCCCGCCUUAAGACGUGGGCCCGCGUCCCAUUAGCUAGUUGGUAAGGUAAACGGCCUACCAAGGGCGAAGAUGGGUACGCCGGCCUGAGAGGGUGAACGGCCACACUGGGACUGAGAUACGGCCCAGACUCCUACGGGAGGCAGCAGCUAAGAAUAUUCCGCAAUGGACGAAAGUCUGACGGAGCGACGCCGCGUGUAUGAGGAAGGCCGAAAGGUUGUAAAGUACUUUUGCGAAUGAAGAAUAAUGCGGGUAGGGAAUGACCUGCAGAUGACGUUAGUUUGCGAAUAAGCCCCGGCUAAUUAC